rnacentral:ncRNA from 1 species
UAAUUGAAGAGUUUGAUCAUGGCUCAGAUUGAACGCUGGCGGCAGGCCUAACACAUGCAAGUCGAGCGGCAGCGACAACAUUAAUCCUUCGGGUGCGUUGAUGGGCGGCGAGCGGCGGACGGGUGAGUAAUGCCUGGGAACAUGCCUUAGUGUGGGGGA